rnacentral:rRNA from 1 species
UACGUAGGGGGCUAGCGUUGUCCGGAAUCAUUGGGCGUAAAGCGCGCGUAGGCGGCCCGGUAAGUCCGUUGUGAAAGUCAAAGGCUCAACCUUUGAAAGCCGGUGGAUACUGUCGGGCUAGAGUACGGAAGAGGCAAGUGGAAUUCCUGGUGUAGCGGUGGAAUGCGCAGAUAUCAGGAGGAACACCUAUAGCGAAGGCAGCUUGCUGGGACGUAACUGACGCUAAGGCGCGAAAGCGUGGGAGCGAACAGG